rnacentral:rRNA from 1 species
GAUGAACGCUGGCGGCGUGCCUAAUACAUGCAAGUCGAGCGAACAGACGAGGAGCUUGCUCCUCUGACGUUAGCGGCGGACGGGUGAGUAACACGUGGAUAACCUACCUAUAAGACUGGGAUAACUUCGGGAAACCGGAGCUAAUACCGGAUAAUAUAUUGAACCGCAUGGUUCAAUAGUGAAAGACGGUUUUGCUGUCACUUAUAGAUGGAUCCGCGCCGCAUUAGCUAGUUGGUAAGGUAACGGCUUACCAAGGCAACGAUGCGUAGCCGACCUGAGAGGGUGAGCGGCCACACUGGAACUGAGACACGGUCCAGACUCCUACGGGAGGCAGCAGUAGGGAAUCUUCCGCAAUGGGCGAAAGCUUGACGGAGCAACGCCGCGGGAGUGAUGAAGGUCUUCGGAUCGUAAAACUCUGUUAUUAGGGAAGAACAAAUGUGUAAGUAACUAUGCACGUCUUGACGGUACCUAAUCAGAAAGCCACGGCUAACUACGUG